rnacentral:sRNA from 1 species
UUGGGGAUAACGUUGGGGAGGGAGAGC